GAUACUAGGGUCAAAAGGACGAAAAUCCGAUGCAAGCUUGAUUGCAGGAGAAUUUCCGACCUUGGGACCCGCCAAAAACAUGAAUAAGCAGCCAUUUUUCGCAGAAAAAUGAGCGGAUUAUGAAUGUUUUUGAGUAUUGUGAGAGCACGAAGUGCGGAACAAUACGG
rnacentral:sRNA from 1 species